ACGAAGCUGACGGGAAGUGYGGUGUUCRGAGUGAUCAUUGYGCGUUGGACUGGCGUCUAAGUCUUYUUGACUGGGGUUUGAUGGCCCGGAGCGGGUGUCAGGCCUUUAWSGCGUUGGUUUGGCGUGCAUUGGUUGCUCGAAGAGUCGGGUUGUUUCUGAGUACAACCCAAWGCAGGUGGUAAACUCCAUCUAAGGCUAAAUAUGASUACSAGUCCGAUAGCGAACAAGUACCGYGAGGKAAAGUUGCAAAGAACUUUGAAGAGAGAGUUCAAGAGUACGUGAAACCGCCCGGAGUGAAGCGGGUGAKCCCACAUGGUUGCUUGUUGGAAUCAAUCGUAUGGCUGGGGCAUGUGGCAGGCUGUCGCAUGUACUGCGAGUAUGUGGGCAGCUUGUCAUGUGUUGUGUGUCCUCCUGGCUGUGCGAUGUACUUCUGACUUGUGAUGUGCUACGAGUGGUAGCRUGGCAACAAGAAGUGACAAGAGCAGGUAGUACCUUUCGUCCCAACUUGUGGGGCGCAUGUAUGAUGGKCUCGAGUCCGAAUUGCUURCUGUGUUACCUAGGACAGCUUGUUSUCAGCUGCAGCGGUUUGKKCCGUGCAGGGGGCACGUAGGUUGUCCAGGUGGGAUGUGCGUGGCGCGGGACUGCUUUGCAGUGUCGUGUUGCGUAUGUCUGCUAUGGGCAGCUGCGACGCACGUGAAUUGCAUCGAAUUGCUGUUCGGUAGCCAGUUGGUAACUCACCCGUCCCGUCUUGAAACACGGACCAAGGAGUUCAGCAUGCAGGCGAGUCUGAGGGUGGUGCAAAACCCGAAGGCGAAGUGAAAGCGAAGGCUGCCGUUGGGCAGCUCAGAUGUGAUCCGGUGUUUAGCGAGAGCUAACCCGGCGCAACAUCGUCUCGUCGUGUCCCCGCGUGGGUGCGGCGAAGAUUGAGCCUGCACGCUGUGACCCGAAAGAUGGUGAACUAUGCCAGAGGAGGACGAAGCCAGAGGAAACUCUGGUGGAGGUCCGAAGCGAUUCUAACGUGCAAAUUGAUCGUCAGACUUUGGUAUAGCGGCGAAAGACUAAUCGAACCAUCUAGUAGCUGGUUCCCUCCGAAGUUUCUCUCAGGAWARCUGGCACUCGCUUUGAUUUUUACCCGGUAAAGCGAYUGAUUAGAGUGAUUUGGGUUGAAAAGAUCUAAACCUAUUCUCAAACUGUAAAUGG
rnacentral:rRNA from 1 species